rnacentral:rRNA from 1 species
GCAAGUCGAGGGGUAACAGGGGAGCUUGCUCCCGCUGACGACCGGCGAACGGGUGAGUAACGCGUACGUAACCUACCUUCAAGAGAGGGAUAGCCCUGGGAAACUGGGAUUAAUACCUCAUGGCAUCAUAAGAUCACCUGAUCUAAUGAUUAAAGCUGAGGCGCUUGAAGAUGGGCGUGCGUUCUAUUAGAUAGUUGGUGAGGUAACGGCUCACCAAGUCAGCGAUAGAUAGGGGGCGUGAGAGCGUGGUCCCCCACACGGGUACUGAGACACGGACCCGACUCCUACGGGAGGCAGCAGUAAGGAAUAUUGGACAAUGGGCGAAAGCCUGAUCCAGCCAUUCCGCGUGUAGGAUGACGGCCCUCUGGGUUGUAAACUACUUUUAUUUGGGAAGAAACCCUGGGAUUUAUCCCGGGCUGACGGUACCAAAAGAAUAAGCACCGGCUAAUUCCGUGCCAGCAGCCGCGGUAAUACGGAAGGUGCAAGCGUUAUCCGGAAUCACUGGGUUUAAAGGGUGCGUAGGCGGUUGCGUAAGUCAGAAGUGAAAGCUCACAGCUUAACUGUGGAAUUGCUUUUGAUACUGCGUGACUAGAAUUAGGUUGAGGUUGGCGGAAUGUGACAUGUAGCGGUGAAAUGCGUAGAUAUGUCAUAGAACACCAAUUGCGAAGGCAGCUGACUGGACCUAUAUUGACGCUGAGGCACGAAAGCGUGGGGAGCGAACAGGAUUAGAUACCCUGGUAGUCCACGCCCUAAACGAUGCUUACUCGAUGUGUGAACUAUUGCGCAUCCAAG